rnacentral:rRNA from 1 species
GACGAACGCUGGCGGCAGGCUUAACACAUGCAAGUCGAACGCCCCGCAAGGGGAGUGGCAGACGGGUGAGUAACACGUGGGAACAUGCCCAAAGGUACGGAAUAUUCUCGGGAAACUGGGAGCAAUACCGUAUGUGCCCGAAAGGGGAAAGAUUUAUCGCCUUUGGAUUGGCCCGCGUUGGAUUAGCUAGUUGGUGGGGUAAAAGCCUACCAAGGCGACGAUCCAUAGCUGGUCCGAGAGGACGACCACGCCACACU